CAGGGAGACAACAAAAUGUUUAAUAUAAUUUUGUCACCUUAGGUCGAUCGGUACCUCACAUUCUUAUUUUUAAGAAUUUCAUAUCCUAAGUUUUUCUAGGUCACACCCAUUACUUUUCCUGGGCCAUUAGCUCAGGUGGUUAGAGCGCACCCCUGAUAAGGGUGAGGUCCCUGGUUCAAGUCCAGGAUGGCCCAUAUCUCUAUGUUGGGGGUAUAGCUCAGUUGGUAGAGCGCCUGCUUUGCAAGCAGGAUGUCAGCGGUUCGAGUCCGCUUACCUCCACUGAUUACCACCUCUCCCAAAGAUUUGGAGAUAAGGAAAUGUAUUGAGUUGUGAUCCAUCCUGAACGAAUCUAGCUUCCUAAUAAAUAUAUUAAGAUGCUGGACUCAUUGAAUUAUUUUCAUUGUUUUCAGAGAACCUUGACAACUGCAUAGAUUUUUUUUAAAGACAAUAAGCAUCUUUAAUGAUGCAGAUUUUUUAUUUGUGCGAAUGCAUUAAUAACAAUUCUAUUAAGCUGAUGCUUCAAUUUUUGAAGUUAUU
rnacentral:tRNA from 1 species